CCGACGGCGGGAGUCGAAGGCGCUCGGUGCAUGGGCCCGUGAGGACGCGCCGAGCUCCCCCGGCCGCGGCGGAGGCGGAGCAGCGCGGGAGCGAGGCGCUGCCCGGCGACCCUGCGUCCGAGCGAGCGGAACCCUGCGCUUCGCUCGGGGACGGUCCGAAGUCCGCGCUAUGGAAGAGGAGAAAUACUUGCCUGAGCUGAUGGCAGAGAAAGAUAGCCUGGAUCCAUCUUUUGUGCAUGCAUCGCGCCUCUUGGCGGAAGAAAUUGAAAAAUUUCAAGGUUCUGAUGGAAAAAAGGAAGAUGAAGAAAAGAAAUAUCUUGAUGUCAUCAGCAACAAAAACAUAAAGCUCUCAGAAAGAGUAUUGAUUCCUGUCAAGCAAUAUCCAAAGUUCAAUUUUGUGGGGAAAUUGCUUGGACCAAGAGGAAACUCCUUGAAGAGACUACAGGAAGAAACAGGUGCUAAAAUGUCUAUCCUGGGCAAAGGAUCAAUGAGAGAUAAAGCAAAGGAAGAAGAAUUAAGGAAGAGUGGGGAAGCCAAAUAUGCCCACUUGAGUGAUGAACUUCAUGUAUUAAUUGAAGUGUUUGCUCCACCUGGGGAAGCUUAUUCACGAAUGAGUCAUGCAUUGGAAGAAAUUAAAAAAUUCCUGGUUCCCGACUACAAUGAUGAAAUUCGUCAGGAACAGCUACGUGAAUUAUCUUACUUAAAUGGCUCAGAGGACUCUGGUCGUGGCAGAGGUAUUAGAGGCAGAGGGAUCAGAAUAGCUCCCACAACCCCUUCCAGGGGCCGUGGAGGUGCCAUUCCUCCUCCCCCACCACUUGGACGAGGUGUACUCACCCCUCGAGGGACUACUGUGGCUCGUGGAGCUCUUCCAGUGCCCCCUGUAGCAAGAGGUGUCCCUACCCCACGAGCCCGAGGGGCACCAACAGUACCGGGAUAUAGGGCACCUCCUCCUCCAGCCCACGAAGCUUAUGAAGAAUAUGGGUAUGAUGAUGGCUACGGGGGUGAAUAUGAUGACCAGACCUAUGAGACUUAUGAGAACAGCUAUGCCACCCAAACACAAAGUGUGCCUGAAUACUAUGACUACGGUCAUGGAGUAAGUGAGGAUGCCUAUGACAGCUACGCACCAGAAGAAUGGGCCACAACCCGCUCCAGCUUGAAGGCACCACCGCCAAGGUCAGCCAGAGGGGGAUACAGGGAGCACCCCUAUGGUAGAUAUUGAAGGGCCUUCUCACCCGUGACCUCACCUCAAAGACAGUUCAUAGCCUGUGGUCUCCACAUAAACAGCAACAAGACAAGUAUCCACAAGCCAAGAGCACAUAAGUGAAUAGCAGAUGUGAUGAGCUAAGAGGGACAGAGGCCAGAUAAGAAGAGAAUUUGGAUUUGAACCAAUGUGAUUCUGAAGUGACUAUGAAUAACAACCACAGAUUAAAAUAUGUGUGGAACAUAUUAAUAUGUUAAUUAUGCAGCUUUAAAAAGAAGAGGUUAACCUGGCCUGGAAUUUUAAAAGAUGGCCUCUAGAAGAGGUGAGAUUUGGAUGAAAAGUCAGAUACCAACAGAAGGUGAUGAAAUGUAUUUUUUUAGAAGGUGAAGAUGGUGUUAUGGUUGCCAAGAAGCCUCACGGACUCUUCUGAACAUACACAAAAGCCAAAUACAAAGACCAUAUUCUUCACAACUUUGUAAGCUGACAUGUGACAAGGAUGGUUUAGAAUGGCAAGCAAUUCAAGAAGCAUAAGAGAACUAAAAAGAGAAACUAAACCCUAUGAUUGAAAAACUUGAGGAAAAAGAAAAGAAGAACAAACUUUAGAGGUGAAGGAAGUAAGAGAUACAUUCAAGAGAUAAUAAAGGAAAUGAUUCAAUUAAAGCAGGACAUUUGUGAAAGAGACACAGCAUAAUGCCAAUUGAUUUUCAUCAUUAAGAGAUCCUCAAAUGAUAGCUGAAUUUUCAAAGGCUUCAAAGAAAGUAUCUAUCGAACUUAAUGUAGCUUGAUUGAACAUUUUCAUCAUGCUGAAAGCAACAUCAGCAGCCCUGUGAAAGGAAUAAAUGGGCAUGUACUUUCCUCGAAAGACCAUCUUUUCUACUGCCGAAGACAUUGGAAAUCUUCAAUAGUUGGAGCUGGGGCCUUCACCAGAAAGCUGUCUUUUACCUAUGUCUUUGCUCUACCUUUCAUUCCUGAAAUCAAUUCUGGUACAAGUAUGAUCUUCAGCUAUCAGGCCGUAUCAUACAGCUGUAAAAUUAGAAAAUAAACAGGUGUUUAAAAUA